GUGUAGUUGAGCAUCGUUUGAAAUCUACAACUAUCUCCAUAUUAUCUUUGCUUUCGUUUUCCAAUACACCCCCGAUUCCUUCGCUACUCCCAUCGAUUUACAUUUACUCUUGCCUCGUCUCUAUGAAAACCCUAGAAAUUUGUUGAACCACCACCUUACCUCCACUACUACACCCGACCACCGACUAUGCUAAUCUAAACCAAUACCCAAAACACGGUAGCCAAACCACCAUGUCUCUUCCACCAUCAUAUGACUUCAAUCACUACCCGAUUUUCUGUUGUAUUCUGUGCCACUUCCUUCUCAGUCUCUCUAACUUCUGACUUGCUUUCCUUCUGAUGCAUCUAACGGUUACUGAAAAAGAUAGAACAUAAGCAACAAAUCAACGGGUUUGAAGAUAAGGUGUAUAUGUUUCUAACUCCUAAUGGCCUUUUGGAUUGUGAUUCAUUCUUUUGUUUCUUUUUUUUUUUCAAAAUUUUCCAAAGAAAAAGAGUGGGUGAUAAAGAUAGUAUAACUAAGAGGAAUUUGAGCGGGAAUGAGUUAUGUUUCUUAGAAACAUAAACAUGUGUCUUGGAUCUCAAAGGAACUAUAAUUUUAGUUUUAUAAGUAGUAUUUAAGGAAGUUCUUCAAUUAAAUAGUGGGUAAGAAACGUGGAAAGCACACCAGGUGCUUGUGAAAAUGUCUCAUAUGUAGUAAUGUCAUGGUGAAGACAUGGUACUUAAAUUGCAUGCAGUUCUUUGUAUCCAGGUUUGUCUGCUUUGUUUUGCUAAUCCCAAACCUAACUGUGGCUAAGGGUUCAUUUUAGGGAUUUUACUUUUAAAGUGUAUUUUAUGCCCAAGGGACAAUAAAAUGCAGGUUACAUUACCAUGCUUUAAAAGACAAGCAAAUGAAAGUAGUCAUGCAAUUAUUUAUUUUUCAUUCGGUAUUAAAGUUUAUUACAAUGGUUUCAUGGCAAAACAUGAAAGUAGGAUGUUGAAAUUAGCAAGUUAACGAAAGUAUAUUGCUAUUUUGCAUUUGUAUUUUCAUGAAAGAUAGGCAGAAAUUUGAUUUCCACAUAUACACUUAUGAUUUCGAGAUUACUGAUGUCUUUGUUUUUUAGAUUUUUUUUCAACCACAUUCAUUAGUUAGCAUGCAAAUUGUUUUUAUGUUGUAUAAUGUAUUUUGAAGCUUUAAUAAUUAACAUGAGGCUUUUGUUUAACUGCAUAUUGUUUUAGUAAGUGUGCAAAAUUAUAGUUUUUUGGUCAUUGAUUAGCCCGCUUUUAUAUGAUGUUGCGAAGAAUUUUAGAUUUUUUUGGUCAUCAGCUUUUGUUUAGUUUGAAUGAAAUGUGGAAUAGUAGGAACUAAAACCUCAGAGGAUUUUUUUUUUUUUCUGGUGAGAUCACCAUGUAAUAAGACGAUAACAUUAGAGAAACAGAUAAGACUUAACUUCAUCUCAUUUAGAACCAAUAUUGAAUAUUUGAUAAUUUUGUUUUGUAUUUUCAAACUUGAUUUCUUUGAAUGAUGGUAUGUCUCUUUUAAAUGUGCAGGUGCAAAGAAACUCAAGUAAGUUACUUGGUUCUUGAAAAGGAAAGGAUCCAUCUUCUCACGCUAUCUGAUUUUCAAGUUCAAGGAGGUACCAGUGAGGAUCGUGGGAAGGCGCCGGCAUGAUCUGUACACACUUGUGGAGUUUUUAUGCAUUGUGAUCUUGGGAUUUGUUUUAUGGAGUGGUCAUGUGAUACAUUGAGAUUUGAUAAUAUUAUGAAUGAAAUUAUAUUUUUAAAGUGAAAAAUUGUUUGGCAAAUUUACGUUGUUACAAUAGGCAUUUCAUCUUCAACGGAUAUCACCGGUGGCUCCUCAAGCACGGGUGCGAGCCGAGGCCGAACUCUUCUUCCCAGUUCCUAUGGUACCAAAACUUCAUCAUCAUCAGGGAUAGAAAAAGUAUCCCCUCUGUUGUCUUCCACAAUCCACACCCUCUUGUAAAAAUGUGUGGUAAAUGGGCGCGUGUGCAUCAUUGUUAGAAAACUUUUGGCCCCAUCCUUAAAUAUCCCGUAUGACUUUUCCAACUUUGUCACAAACAUGCCCCCAUAAAUUCGUGAUGCCUUCCUAUCCUUCACCCCUCUCUUCGCCAAAUAUUUUGCCAAGCAGUAUGGUAUAUUACAAAAAGUGUUGGGUGUGAUGUUGCUUUACAAGAAAAAUAAAUCAAGGUUUGGAACCGUGUCAUCGUCUUUUUUCAUAUUGAUGGAGCAUGCAAUGAAUCGGUGAAGGAGUCGGUGGACCGGUGACCAGAUACUACCCUCUUGUGUCGCCGAUGGAAUAUACACCCCGUUUGCAAUCGUUGUCCACCAAUUUACUCCAUUAACCCCAUCUGGAAACUCCCUAUGACAAUGUUCCAGAAAUGUACCAAAAUCUUCCGUCAUGGCCUCCGACCUAUUGUAGAGACCCAUCCUCCAUGCUAAUUCAACAAUGCUACAUUCCCUAUAUGCUCCUCCCAAACAAAAAGUCAAGUUGUGCGUAUCAAAAGGAUCAUCACCCCCCUAAUUGAACUGUGGCUUAAAACUCCAGACAUAGUUCUAUGUAAACCGACUCCUAUAUUUGAAACAACCUCCUCCAUGCAGUACAUGUGACCCUCACCCCAUCAUUCAUAAACACCUUUGUCGAAUAUGGGUUUAUGGCUUCAACUAACCCAACCUGCUCUAACCAUGUACAUUCCACUUCGUUAGCAAUAUAGAACUCUUUUUUCUUUUAACUUCUCUAAUUUGAUUCUCCAUUCUGUCAAAGUUCUUUAAGAGACAACUUGUGGGAAGUUGUACCAAGGAAAAUCCCCUUGGUCCCUAGGAACUUGUUGGCCUCUUCCACAUCUCCUCAUUUUUUCUGCACAACAAACAACAUGGGAGACAAACCAAUACCAAAUAAAGUUAAAAAUAAAAUUUUAAGCAAAUUUGGGCACUCUGAAAAAUAAACUCACCGAGUUGUAUGAACAACUCGACGUGUUCGAUGAACAUUUCGAGAAAACAGUUAUGAAUCGAACCCUUAUGACCAAUCCAACUUCAAACAACUUCAGUGGUUUGUUUAGGGUAUUAUAACAUGCUUUUAAUCAUAAUAAAAACCGGUUUAAACAACCUAAUUUAACCAAAUUGAAACCCUAGAAUUUAUGCCAAGUUCAAAAAUCGGGUUUUUCAUCCAAAUUAAACACCAAACUCAUAAAAAUCUUAACUUUAACAUGUUGAGGGACUAAAAAUGUUACCUUUGCUGGAGAAAAUCGAGUACAACCGUACGGAGUAGAAAAACAGUUGUUCUUGAGAGAGAACUCGGUGGGUUCUGGGUGUGGCUGGUAAAAACGAUCAAUUUUUCCUUUUUAGGGUUAAAACCCCUUUCACUGAGUUUAAAAACUUAUAUAUUUUUAAAAGUUCAACACGCUGAGCUGGGGAACCCAAACUCGCCGUGUUGAAACGGAUUCCUGGGCAAAAUCGCGAAAAAUCGCCCAAACACGGUGAGUAACUCAUACAUGCCGAGUUUGGGGUUCAGAACAAAAAAAAAUCUAUAGUUUUUCAAAGUUUUUUACCACACUAACAACCACGCCGUUCUACUUUCGCCUUACUCUGUGUAACUCUUGCCAUUGAGUUCGGCAAAUCCCAGGUUACUGAUUGCUUUUUGUACACGAGUCAGUAAAUGUUUGUUGUACCCUCCCGGGUACACUAUUAGUACUUAAUGGAGAUUUAAGUAUUGGAACAACUCGUACUUAGAUUUCGCUUCAUGGAUAAAGUUACAAGUACUUCUAAGAUGAUAAUAUCUCUUAUGCUUCAAACCGAGAUACAUGAGGCUUUUUUGCUUUACGAAUCUUUUAUCCAUAGGUAUGCUCCAACGCUAUCCGUAAAUGGUAGUAAUAAAGGGUAUAUACAUGUGUGACAAGGUGAGUAGAAGAAAACUAUGUAGUCAAAGUUUAUUUUUUCCUUUUACCUUAACAUGAAAAAUGAUAUCUAUAGGCCCCUCGAUGAUUUAGUGUUAACAUCUAAAGUGCUUUGCCGAGCCGUGACUGAAACUGAUGUGUUUAAUUUAGUAAUUAGAAGUAGUCGUCACAAAUCUUUAUUAGGAAACAUAAUCAUGAACUUUGUGACCGACCCUUAUCCAUGUCUUAGGUUCAUACAUAUAUCUUGUAAAACAAAUGAAUAGUUGAUCACUUAUCUAAGGGUUGAAUCUUGAUUAGAUCAAAGUUCAGCAGUUGCAUUGCAUGACAUUCUCUUUGUUGAUUGUUGAAGAAGUAAUGGACUUAAUAUAAUUAAUGACUUAUCCAAAUGGGAGACUAUUGGAAAGAGUGUCCAAUAUCAUUAACUAUUGAUAACAUUUUGUAACACCGAAAUUUUUAAAACAAAUUUUUCGUUUAAAAUCGUUUAUCUCUUUAACACUUUUCAUAAAAAUCUCCCUUUUUGUUUAAAUUACAAUACAUGACUCUUUUGUUCAAUCAAUUAAUAGGCCAGGAUCCUCAAAACCAAUGCUUCUUAUGGUGUGUACAAUCGAGCCGGUGCCGUCACGUGAUCCUGAGAAAACCUGAAACAUAUAACACAAACAAUGUAAGCACGAAGCUUAGUAAUUUCCCCAAAAUACCACUAUAUCACAUAUUAGCCACUCAAGGCUAUAACUCUGUUGACCCUCUGGUCAGUGUGUCUCAGUGGGACCCUCCAGUCCCAACUCUCUGUGGACCCUCUGGCCCUAACUCUAUGUACCCAAAGGUCCUAACUCUGAUAACUCUGAAUCAUGCAUAUCACAUACCACAAUAAAUCCCAUAAAAUAAAUACCAUACAAAUACACUGGCACAUAACUCUAAACCUAACUCUGUGGACUCUCUGGUCCUAGCUCUGUGGACCUUCCGGUCCUAACUCUGAUAUACACACAUCAUAAAUCACAUAGAAAUAAUACAGUGCCACAUAUCGCAUAGAUAGCAUACAAUAACUCUGUCACAUAACUCUGUUACCACUCUAGGUAAAGUAUAGUGAGAAGACUCACCUCAAAUGUCUCGGUAAAUCUUUGACUCGGUAGAAAUAUGGUCUAGCCUCUGCCUAAUCACACAAAGUAAAUACUCUCAUAAAUAUAACUCUCGAGACUACACUCAACCCUCUCUUGGCACCCUCAGAAGGGUAAAAGACCAUUUUACCCUUCUCUUGACACGAAGACCCCAUUGUUGACCAAACCCUCAAGUCAACGGUCAAACUUCGACCCGACUCGCCGAGUGCACUUGGGCGACUCAGCGAGUUUACGCGUGUCCACUAUCCCUCUAGUCUCGCAUGACACGUCGAGUCUUUCCCCUGCUCGAUGGGUUACACCUGGCAUGAAUCGCGAGGCCACCCCGACUCAACUCACCGAGUCCCAUUAUGAACUCGGCGAGUUUCGCCUUGAGCCCCAAUCCUCUAUUUCCCUCUGACUCACCGAGUCAUUCCCCCAACUUGGGAAGUUGCUCACUGAGUGAACUAUGGGAAAACCGUAGCCCUACUCGUCGAGUCUGUUCUUGAGACUCGGCGAGUUCAUGCCAUGAUCAAGCUCAAAUGAUCUCCUGAGGUCAGAUCCGUUCCUCUAAAUCAUAGAUUUGGCCUUCGUAAGCAAUAUAAACACGUAAAGUCUGGAUCUUGAUGCCCAUGCAAAGACCCAAUGGCUCUAUUUGAAGAAAUGGCCUCAAUAUGUCACCCUAAGCUCAAAUUACCCAAAGUCACCCCCAUAAAGAUCAAGGAGUUAAGGUCUCUGGACUACUUUGGAUCCAUAUCCGAAGCCUCAACACAAGAAGGGACCAAUUGCACCAUCAUUCACACUCUAAAUGGGCUAGAAACCCUAACUCUCAAGGAUUAACACCCAAAAAUGAAGAAUGAUCGAAUAUAUACCUCAAUAUGAAGUCCUUAGGCUCUAAAAUCCACAUAAUAGCACCCUCUUCAGCUCCCUCUUGCCUUGGUCACCUUCUUCUUGUAAAAACACCCACACAAGGAUCAAAAAUGGCCUCUUCUUCCUCACAAACGCUCUAGAUCGCUUAGGGUUUCACUCAGGGGUCUGAUAGCCGCAAUUGGUGGCUAUAAGCCCCUUUAAAUAGGUCUCAAUCCCCGACAAUUAGGGCUUCAUUAAACAACGCAGACUCGCCGAGUCCAGUACUCGACUCGCCGAGUCCGGUCAUUAACCCGGUUGGAAAUCGCGACUCUACUCGGUGAGUCUAAGCAUCAACUCGCCGAAUCCCUCCAAAAUAAAGAAUAAAUAAUGUACCUGGGAAUCCGGAUGUUACAAUUCUCCCCCACUAGAAUCAUACUUCGUCCUCGAAGUCUUACUCUGAAAACAGCUCUGGAUACUGCUCACGCAUCUCUCGCUCCGGCUCCCAAGUUAGCUCGGACCCUUUCCGAUGUUGCCACUGGACCUGCACCAGGGGCACUUCCUUGUUCAUCAGAACCUUGAUCUUCCAAUUCAUAAUCGCCACCGGUCUCUCAGCAUAGUUCAGGCUCGCGUCCACCUAAAUAUCCUCUAAUGGUACCACUACCGACGCGUCGGCAAUACACUUCCUCAACUGAGACACGUGGAAGGUAUCAUGAAUCCGACUCAACUCCGCAGGUAGCUCCAAACGGUAUGCUACCCUGCCCACCCUGGUGGUCACCCUGAAAGGACCAAUAUACCGGGGUCCCAACUUACCCCUCUUUUUAAACCGGAUCACUCCUUUCCAAGGAGAUACCUUCAGGAGUACGAAGUCACCGACCUGGAACUCAAGCUCUGACCGUCGUCUAUCCACAUAACUCUUCUAACGGCUCUGGGCCGUCAGUAACCUCUGUCUGACCUGCUGAAUCUGCUCGGUUGUCUGAAGCACAAUCUUUGUACUAACUAUUGCACGUUGCCCUACCUCUCCCCAGCAAAUGGGAGUCCGACACCUCCUCCCAUACAACAGCUCAAAGGGUGGCAUACCGAUGCUCGAAUGAUGGCUGUUGUUAUAGGAAAACUCAGCCAAGGGUAAGUACGUGUCGCAACUCCCUCCAAAACCCAAUACACAUGCCCGAAGCAUGUCCUUGAGCGUCUGAAUCGUUCGCUCGCUCUGCCCGUCAGUCUGUGGGUGGUAGGCGGUAUUAAAAAUGCAACCUCGUGCCCAACUCCUCAUGGAAUUUCUUCCAGAAUCUGGAAGUGAAACGUACAUCUCGAUUUGAGACAAUCGAGAUCGGUACUCCGAGCCGCGAUACCACCUCCCUCACGUACAACCCUGCCAGGCUCUCCGUAGAAGAGCUCCCACUGACUUCCUCUUCGCAUCAACUAUCUCGGCCCUAUGACACACAAGUCACAAAAUUCUCAAAUGAAACUACAAUCCAACCAAAAAUCAACUUAGCCCAGACAGAGACGGAGACCCCAGUCCCGCCCCUGGUUCAACCACCAGGCUCCAAAAACUCAAUAUUAGGGCUACUCAAGCCUAAAACUCUUCUGCAUCAUACACUGAUCGGAGAACACUCCAUCAUCACACUCUCAUGCCGUCUAGUGAGUACUAUGGCUCCCCGCAACAUCACGACAGCCUCUGACUAGUGAGUACUACGGCUCCCCGUAGCACCACAACACCAACUGACUAGUGAGUACUACGGCUCCCCGUAGUACCACGACUCCCUCUCUCUGACUUGUGAGUACUACGGCUCCCCGUAGCAUCACAACACCCUCUGACUAGUGGAUACUACAGCUUCCCGUAGCUUCAACCCAUACUCUCAUUCUCAUUACAACGCCACACUACGUCCACUAACUCAUACUCCGUAGACUAUCAUAGAUAGUUACACACACUUGUCCCACAUAUGCAUCACAUACUCUGGUGGCAACCGCUAUAGCAAAAUACCUACCCCUGCCGAGAUCCACUUUCUUAAAUACUCCCUCUUGAUGUCAAUACUCGAAGGGCUCCCACUGGAACCGUAGAUACAUGAUACACCACUAAUUGUCUCAAACUCAAGAUUCUAAAUAACUCCGAAAUCGGGACAUUAUAUUCGGGUACCACGGAACACCAUUACAGAACAUCACGAUGUCCUGUCUCAACCACUGAUCUGCUACUCCCAGCACCAUACAGAUACAACAAUACAUUUCCUCUAAACCCCAUAAAUAAUUCUUCACUAUAUCCAAUGCGCAACUUCAGUGUAUCCAAACACUCAAUUGGAAUACAAAGAAAGCGCUAACGCUUCAGAGCACGCUGAUGAUCCUCCAAAACCCUUUCCCCUACUGCUCAAAAUCCAAGCAAGAAUACACAUACCGGCCCGGGAGUUGGCUGCUCGAUAAUCUUCUAUCCACCCCAAAAAGGGGCAUAUACAAUCCAUACUUCGACCCAUAAGUUCUCAACUGCCCAUACCAUCAUUACGAGUCUUCCACUUGAAACGGCCCUGACCACUACCAGAUUCCUGACCAUUGGCCACCUACCGUGCAGACACCCAUCCUUUUCUCAGACAUAUACCACAUGCAUUAUCUCGCUCUGCACCUGUCCUUGAUCACCAAUGACCCUGGUCUCAUGAAUUCGAGCCGCAGGUUUCUGUAUCCAACCCCUAAUUGCUCUUGCACAAGUCUCUGGUUCCCUCAAUAAAAUACCCGGUUCUCCCCCACUUAGGGUUCGAACCAUCACCAAUUGACGCAUUAACACUCUACCCCACAGACGAUUUCCUCCGGAAACAUCGCACCUACGCUUGGAAGGUGCCACACAACGCCUAAUAAUCUCCCCACGCAGAGAUCAAGAAACCUCAAAUACCCUAAAUCUCUGAAGAAAUCCUCAGGAACUUCUCAUCACGACUGCCUCUAGCCAUUCGAAAUCUCAUACCAUCCCAAUACUGAACAUCCCGACUGUCCAGUACUAUCACUGACUCUUAGACUGAAACAAUAAAUCAUCAUACUCCUCAUCCUCAACUUCUCAACCCCCGAUCCAACACGUGAAUCAUCACAAGAAUAGGGACUCCACUACCAUACUUAAUACCCAUCAUAGACAGAAGAGCCACCGCUCUGAUAUACUCGACUGGAUUACCCGCUGAUACCGCUACCACACGCCCUACUAUACUCAAUUAGGGUGCAAUGUGGUCCUUGACCAUCUCAGUCCCCACUGACUACCUGCUCAUGGUAGAUCGUUUUCUCGCGGCAGACAUGCUGCUUGAUACUCUGGUGGAAAAAAAUCGCCAUCAAUGUCAACUCGUAGGGUUUACUCCUAAACCCAAAACUGAAAUCUCACGCCUCUCCUACUUCCCACAGGAAACAUAAAUAGUACCCAUCAGGCCACAGAAGGUGACAUCUCCUCCAUCGGCUGAUUGCUCACUCAGACCGCAAUCCCCCAUAAAUGCCUUCUCUACUAAUCCCUAAGUCUUCUGACUACAUCUGACAUCUUACCAAAAUACUUUGAAAUGCUCUCGACCUCCCUCUCAAGGGAUGCCUCUUCGAACUCAAUCAUGGCCCUCAGGCCUAAAACCCCAUUGCGUCCAAAUUCCACCAAUCAAUCCUGACCGGACAACCGGAGAAUCACAAGCAUCAUUUGCUAAGAACCAUGGUACUCAGCCCAUGACAUCUCUUCUCAAUCUGCUACAAUAUAUGGUACUUGAACCAUAACAUCACUCCUCAAUCUGCUCCGAUGCAUGGUACUCAAACCAUAACAUCACUCCUCAAUCUGCUCCGAUGCAUGGUACUCGAAACAUAACAUCACUCUUCAAUCUGCUCCGAUGCAUGGUACACGAACCAUAACAUCACUCCUCAAUCUGCUCCAAUGUAUGGUACUCAAACCAUAACAUCACUCCUCAAUCUACUCCUUAGAACCUUCAGAAUACUCCUUGUAUCGAGUAUGGGUCCUCUACUUUCGGUAGUACGGGCCCAUACUACCUGCCACAUCUACCCAUACUUUCCACACGGACCAUCCCAGAGCUCCUAAGUAGUUGCUCAACCUUCUCGUUCCCUAAUUUCGUCAUGUGUGCUCGCUCCUCAGCGAAAUGCUCUACUCUACCAGCGUACUCAUCUGGCUAAGGUUACCCCCUUGGCCCUUCCUUGGUUUUCCCACUUCUCCGCCAUCAGCCGCUGAAGAGCUCCUAAUGAUGCCAACCAUCUACCUCCUGAAUAUCGUCAUAUUCACAUGGUAGAUGACUCCCAUCAUCGAGAGUUCCACAAAGCACGAAGCAAGCAACAUUCGGGCAUCGAAGAAUACAUAGAACUCACUCUGAGUGAUAACUCCGCUUGCUCUGCUCAUUCUCAAAAGUACCACCAAACUCUGCAACUCUACCCCUCGCGGGUUUUAACUAUUCUUUUGAUAAGCACCACAAUACUCAUCUAGGCAUCUCUCCUAGAUUACUCCUCUACUCAAAUCCCCCAAAAGGAUUCCAACUGAAUACUCUCACUCAUCACAUUCUCAGAAGCACAUCACAUAUAACAGCAACUCGUAGGCUAAUGCAUCACAAAUCAGACCACUCUAGUCCUAAGAUAUGAAAUACCUAUCCUGUCUCUAGCAUGCAUAAUAUCUCAUAAAAUGUAUCAUAAAUAUCUCAUAAUACAAAAGUAAGGGUAUUUUGGGAAAUCACCGUUCGGGCUCUGGCUGAUUGUACACACUGCUCUUUCUUGCUUUCUCUUUGAACUCUUAUUCACUUUUAGAAAAUCAUUUCUUUGAAAACUCUUCUUACUUCCUCAGUUUGAGUCCAGAUUACCCAAAGGUGCAUCCGAAUCCCUCAAACCAAGGCUCUGAUACCAACUUGUAACACCUAAUUUUUAAAACAAAAUUUUCGUUUAAAAUCGUUUAUCUCUUUAACACUUUUCAUAAAAAUCUCCCUUUUUGUUUAAAUUACAAUACAUGACUCUUUUGUUCAAUCAAUUAAUAUGCCAAGAUCCUCAAAACCAACGCUUCUUCUGGUGUGUACAAUCGAGCCGGUGUCGUCCCGUGAUCUUGAGAAAACCUGAAACAUAUAACACAAACACUGUAAGCACGAAGCUUAGUGAGUUCCCCAAAAUACCACUCUAUCACAUAUUAGCCACUCAAGGCUCUAACUCUGUUGACCCUCUGGUCAGUGUGUCUCAGUGGGACCCUCCAGUCCCAACUCUCUGUGGACCCUCUGGCCCUAACUCUAUGGACCCAAAGGUCCUAACUCUGAUAACUCUGAAUCAUGCAUAUCACAUACCACAAUAAAUCCCAUAAAAUAAAUAGCAUACAAAUACACUGGCACAUAACUCUAAACCUAACUCUAUGGACCCUCUAGUCCUAGCUCUGUGGACCUUCCGGUCCUAACUCUGAUAUACACACAACAUAAAUCACAUAGAAAUAAUGCAGUGCCACACAUCGCAUAGAUAGCAUACAAUAACUCUGUCACAUAACUUUGUUACCACUCUAGGUAAAGUAUAGUGAGAAGACUCACCUCAAAUGUCUCGGUAAAUCUUUGACUCGGUAGAAAUAUGGUCUAGCCUCCGCCUAAUCACAUAAAGUAAAUACUCUCAUAAAUAUAACUCUCGAGACUAGACUCAACCCUCUCUUGGCACCCUCAGAAGGGUAAAAGACCAUUUUACCCCUCUCUUGACACGAAGACCCCAUUGUUGACCAAACCCUCAAGUCAACGGUCAAACUUUGACCCGACUCGCCGAGUGCACUUGGGCGACUCGGCGAGUCUACGCGUGUCCACUAUCCCUCUAGUCUCGCAUGACAUGUCGAGUCUUUCCCCUGCUCGACGGGUAACACCUGGCAUGAAUCGCAGGGCCACCCCGACUCAACUCGUCGGGUCCUAUUAUGAACUCGGCGAGUUUCGCCUUGAGCUCCAGUCCUCUAUUUCCUUCUGACUCACCGAGUCAUUCCCCCAACUCGGCAAGUUACUCACUGAGUGAACUAUGGGAAAACCCUAGCCUUACUUGUCAAGUCUGUUCUUGGGACUCGGCGAGUUCAUGCCAUGAUCAAGCUCAAAUGACCUCCUGAGGACAGAUCCGUUCCUCUAACCCAUGGAUCUGGCCUCCUUAAGCAAUAUAAACACGUAAAGUCUGGAUCUUGAUGCCCAUGGAAAGACCCAAUGGCUCUAUUUGAAGCAAUGGCCUCAAUAUGUCACCCUAAGCUCAAAUUACCCAAAGUCACCCCAUAAAGAUCAAGGAGUUAAGGUCUUUGGACCUCUUUGGAUCUAGAUCCGAAGCCUCAACACAAGAAGGGACCAAUUGCACCAUCAUUCACACUCUAAAUGGGCUAGAAACCCUAACUCUCAAGGAUUAACACCCAAAACUGAAGAAGGAUCGAAUAUAUACCUCAAUAUGAAGUCCUUAGGCUCUGAAAUCCACAGAAUAGCACCCUCUUCAGCUCCCUCUUGCCUUGGUCACCUGCUUCUUGCAAAAACACCCACACAAGGGUCAAAAAUGGCCUCUUCUUCCUCACAAAUGCUCUAGAUCGCUUAGGGUUUCACUCAGGGGUCUGAUAGUCGCAAUUGGUGGCUAUAAGCCCCUUUAAAUAGGUCUCAAUCCCCGAGAAUUAGAGCUUCAUUAAACAGCGCGGACUUGCCGAGUCCGGUCAUUAACCCGGAUGGAAAUCGCGACUCUACUCGGCGAGUCUAAGCAUCAACUCGCCGAGUCCCUCCAAAAUAAAGAAUAAAUAAUGUACCUGGGAAUCCGGAUGUUACACAUUUCUAAUAAUAACAAAAUCUUUUUGGGUUGCCUUCAUGACUCAAUUGAGCAUAAAAGAAUUUAGGAGAAAUUAAUUUAUUAAUUUCUUGUGGCUUAAUAAAUUAAUUAGAAACUAUUUUGGAAUUAAUUAGGAGUUAAUUAAUUCAAGGAUUUGAAUAUUGGUAAAUUAAAAGUUAGUUGAUUGGAAUAUUCUAGAAUCCCUACAUGAUAAGGAUGUGGAAGAAUUUUAGGCUAUCCCACAUAGGUUUGGAGAUGCUUUGGGGCUAAGCAACUAUAGCCUAGAAAUAGAACGCUAGGGAUCAAACCAUUUUGCUCAUUCCAAGGCUUGAAAAUUUUGUCCUCGUCCCCUCUUCUUUAUUUGAGGUGAUUUAUUUUAUUAGCCCCUCUAGGGUAGUAGAAGUUUUGAUCUAGCCUCUCUCCUAGUUUUCUUUGUUCUUCUCUUUGGUGUUCUUGGAUGUGAACCAAAAUAGGGAUUAUGGUUUGCGUCUUUUCAUCCAAACAAGGUGGAAAUAACAAGCUCUCAAGAAAGGACAUCAUUGACUACAAAAAGAUGUAUGUUUUUUCUAUUUUUUCUUUAGCCGAUUACUCUACCCUUUAGUUAGCAACCCAAAUAAAAAAAUGGGUACUUAGAUACAAUCAAAAUAAAACAAAAU